rnacentral:rRNA from 6 species
UGGGGAAUAUUGCACAAUGGGCGAAAGCCUGAUGCAGCGACGCCGCGUGAGGGAUGACGGCCUUCGGGUUGUAAACCUCUUUCAGUAGGGACGAAGCGCAAGUGACGGUACCUACAGAAGAAGCACCGGCCAACUACGUGCCAGCAGCCGCGGUAAUACGUAGGGUGCGAGCGUUGUCCGGAUUUACUGGGCGUAAAGAGCUCGUAGGCGGUUUGUCACGUCGUCUGUGAAAACCCGAGGCUUAACCUCGGGCCUGCAGGCGAUACGGGCAGACUUGAGUACUGUAGGGGAGACUGGAAUUCCUGGUGUAGCGGUGGAAUGCGCAGAUAUCAGGAGGAACACCGGUGGCGAAGGCGGGUCUCUGGGCAGUAACUGACGCUGAGGAGCGAAAGCGUGGGUAGCGAACAGG